UACGUAGGGUGCGAGCGUUGUCCGGAAUUAUUGGGCGUAAAGAGCUCGUAGGCGGUUUGUUGCGUCGGCCGUGAAAACUUCACGCUUAACGUGGAGCUUGCGGUCGAUACGGGCAGACUUGAGUUCGGUAGGGGAGACUUGAAUUCCUGGUGUAGCGGUGAAAUGCGUAGAUAUCGUUUGGAACGCCAAUGGUGAAAACAGACAGCUGGGAGUGUGCUGACGCUGAGACACGAAAGCCAGGGGAGCGAACGGG
rnacentral:rRNA from 1 species